rnacentral:rRNA from 1 species
AUUGAACGCUGGCGGCAGGCUUAACACAUGCAAGUCGAGCGGGGUGAUGGUGCUUGCACUAUCACUUAGCGGCGGACGGGUGAGUAAUGCUUAGGAAUCUGCCUAUUAGUGGGGGACAACAUCUCGAAAGGGAUGCUAAUACCGCAUACGUCCUACGGGAGAAAGCAGGGGAUCACUUGUGACCUUGCGCUAAUAGAUGAGCCUAAGUCGGAUUAGCUAGUUGGUGGGGUAAAGGCCUACCAAGGCGACGAUCUGUAGCGGGUCUGAGAGGAUAAUCCUCCACACUGUGACUGAGACACGGCCCAGACUCCUACGCGAGGCAGCAGUGGGGAAUAUUGGACAAUGGGGGGAACCCUCAUCUAGCCAUGCCGCGUGUGUGAAGAAGGCCUUAUGGUUGUAAAGAACAUUAAGGGAGGAGGAGGCUCUUUUGGUUAAUACCCAAGAUGAAUGGACGUUACUCGAAGAAUAAGCACCGGCUAACUCUGUUCCAGCAGCCGCCGUAA